rnacentral:rRNA from 1 species
UACGUAGGGUGCGAGCGUUAAUCGGAAUUACUGGGCGUAAAGCGUGCGUAGGCGGUUCGCUGUGUCGGUCGUGAAAGCCCCGGGCUUAACCUGGGAAUGGCGAUGGAAACUGGCGAGCUGGAGUGCGGCAGAGGGGGGUGGAAUUCCGCGUGUAGCAGUGAAAUGCGUAGAGAUGCGGAGGAACACCGAUGGCGAAGGCAGCCCCCUGGGUCGACACUGACGCUCAGGCACGAAAGCGUGGGGAGCAAACAGG